rnacentral:rRNA from 1 species
AGUGAACGCUGGCGGUAGGCCUAACACAUGCAAGUCGAACGGCAGCACAGUAAGAGCUUGCUCUUACGGGUGGCGAGUGGCGGACGGGUGAGGAAUACAUCGGAAUCUACUUUUUCGUGGGGGAUAACGUAGGGCAACUUACGCUAAUACCGCAUACGACCUACGGGUGAAAGCAGGGGAUCUUCGGACCUUGCGCGAUUGAAUGAGCCGAUGUCGGAUUAGCUAGUUGGCGGGGUAAAGGCCCACCAAGGCGACGAUCCGUAGCUGGCCUGAGAGGAUGGUCGGCAAAACUGGAACUGGACCACGGCCCGGAUUCCAACGGGAGGCAGAAGUGGGGAGUAUUGGACAAUGGGCGCAAGCCUGAUCCAGCCAGACCGCGUGGGGGAAGAAGGCCUUCGGGUGUUAAAGCCCUUUUGUUGGGAAAGAAAAGCAGCAGGUUAAUACCCCGCUGUUCUGACGGUACCCAAAGAAUAAGCACCGGCUAACUUCGUG